rnacentral:rRNA from 1 species
UACGUAGGGGCUAGCGUUAUCCGGAAUUACUGGGCGUAAAGGGUGCGUAGGCGGUCUUUCAAGUCAGGAGUGAAAGGCUACGGCUCAACCGUAGUAAGCUCUUGAAACUGUAAGACUUGAGUGCAGGAGAGGAGAGUGGAAUUCCUAGUGUAGCGGUGAAAUGCGUAGAGAUUAGGAAGAACACCAGUGGCGAAGGCGAUUCUCUGGACUGUAACUGACGCUGAGGCUCGAAAGCAUGGGGAGCAAACAGGAUUAGAUACCCCGGUAGU